rnacentral:rRNA from 1 species
AGUGGCGGACGGGUGAGUAACGCGUGAGAAUCUGCCCUUAGGACGGGGACAACAGUUGGAAACGACUGCUAAUACCCGAUGUGCCGAGAGGUGAAAUAUAAUUUGCCUGAGGAUGAGCUCGCGUCAGAUUAGCUAGUUGGUGAGGUAAUGGCUCACCAAGGCGACGAUCUGUAGCUGGUCUGAGAGGAUGAUCAGCCACACUGGGACUGAGACACGGCCCAGACUCCUACGGGAGGCAGCAGUGGGGAAUUUUCCGCAAUGGGCGAAAGCCUGACGGAGCAAGACCGCGUGCGGGAUGAAGGUCUGUGGAUUGUAAACCGCUUUUCUCUGGGAAGAACACAAUGACGGUACCAGAGGAAUCAGCCUCGGCUAACUCCGUGCCAGCAGCCGCGGUAAUACGGAGGAGGCAAGCGUUAUCCGGAAUUAUUGGGCGUAAAGCGUCCGUAGGUGGUUGAGGAAGUCUGCUGUCAAAGCAUGGAGCUUAACUCCAUAAGGGCAGUGGAAACUCCUCGACUAGAGUGCGGUAGGGGUAAGGGGAAUUCCCAGUGUAGCGGUGAAAUGCGUAGAUAUUGGGAAGAACAUCGGUGGCGAAGGCGCCUUGCUGGACCUGCACUGACACUGAGGGACGAAAGCUAGGGGAGCGAAAGGGAUUAGAUACCCCAGUAGUCCUAGCCGUAAACGAUGGAUACUAGGCGUUG